rnacentral:rRNA from 1 species
AGACCCGAAACCCGGUGAUCUAGCCAUGGGCAGGUUGAAGGUUGGGUAACACUAACUGGAGGACCGAACCGACUAAUGUUGAAAAAUUAGCGGAUGACCUGUGGCUGGGGGUGAAAGGCCAAUCAAACCGGGAGAUAGCUGGUUCUCCCCGAAAGCUAUUUAGGUAGCGCCUCGUGAAUUCAUCUCCGGGGGUAGAGCACUGUUUCGGCUAGGGGGCCAUCCCGGCUUACCAACCCGAUGCAAACUGCGAAUACCGGAGAAUGUUAUCACGGGAGACACACGGCGGGUGCUAACGUCCGUCGUGAAGAGGGAAACAACCCAGACCGCCAGCUAAGGUCCCAAAGUCAUGGUUAAGUGGGAAACGAUGUGGGAAGGCCCAGACAGCCAGGAUGUUGGCUUAGAAGCAGCCAUCAUUUAAAGAAAGCGUAAUAGCUCACUGGUCGAGUCGGCCUGCGCGGAAGAUGUAACGGGGCUAAACCAUGCACCGAAGCUGCGGCAGCGACGCUGAUGCGUUGUUGGGUAGGGGAGCGUUCUGUAAGCCUGCGAAGGUGGCCUGUGAGGGUUGCUG